UCUCAAAGUGAUUCUGAUAGUCCCUUACUCCCCAAACAUGACCAUAAAGGCUAAUAACCGCAUGUGCAUUCUAACUGCUCCUUCAGCGGAACCUCUGUACCUCACCAAGCCACCACAGAUCUCUGAUUACAGGAAAGGAGACAGUACAGUCUUGCAAUCAUCAACAGUCAAUAAACAUUUCCUUGUGUCUGCCUGCGUGCCUGUGAGGACGAAGAACUGGUAAUAAACAAGCAUAAGCUUUCUGUUUAAGAGGUCAGAUAGGGGUCACUGAUGUGCUGAAAUUGUGGCUUUACAUAAAACUGUCCCAGAAAAUGUGUGUGUAUUCACACUGAAUAACCUGAAGUGGACACUGCAUACACAAAGGGUUCGGUAGCUUGGAGCACUGGGGCUUUCCUGGCCAGGGUUCAAAGUUCAUACUUAGCUGCCAUGGCAACCAGUGGAGAAAUCCACUCAGUCUGUUGGUGGAUCAUUAAAAACAUUAUGAUGGCCAACAAAAACCCCUCACCCCCCGGUAUGGAAUAUAUGUUGCCAUACCAUGAAAUAAAAUGCAAAGCUGCAACCAAAAAAGGGCAACAAUGUUAUUUCCACCCCCCAAAUAUUAAAUAGAAGCACAGGUGCUGCCAUGUCAGAAGUUGAGAGCAUGCAAAUGUUUUACUUAACCCGCUUAGUUGUGGCCUGUGUCACCAGUAAAAAUAUCACCAAAGGCAAUUCAAGUAUCUUAAGGAUUGGCAAAUAUAGGCAACUUCAAAUGUGUAUAGUCAACAAUCAUAAGCAACCAUCCUCAACAGUUCCUUAGGUUGCCUGGGUGCCAGCUAUUGCCCUUUUUAGGAACCCAUUAAUGGCAAAUAAACACUUAUCAAAUCCGCUGGUUUAUUCUGACUGACUCAUUCAAAAGUGCCUAAAACCACUGGUGGUAGCCCUGGAAGGAGCACCGGAAUGGCAUGUAGUGUCUUUGCCUUGCUGAAACAGGUUUAAAAUGUCUGUUAUUCUGUUAAGAAAUUGUUUUGUUGCAUGAAUUCACAACGAAAAAAGCAUUGAAAUAUUAUUUAAUCAUUAAGCGAGCAAUUUCAUUCACACAUUAAAUCCACUUUCCCAAUGAAGUAGGCUACAUCGGACAACUUGACAAUGUGCAUUCGCAUGGUUCUGGCUGCGUGUACAUUUUUAAAUACUGUUAAUGAAACGCUCAUAUUGAUUGUUGUACGUUGUGUGGGAAUUAUUUGUGCCCAUGAUGAGGCCCUGGAACCUGGCCUCUGAAGUUGGUUUAUACCAGGGGUCUAGUGGCACUCCAAUAUACUACUCUGACAUUCACAAGCCUGGGUAAAGUGAUGUGGAAGGGGAGAAUUAAAUCUCUUUUUUGAUUUUUAUUCUAAUAUUUCAAGAAAUUAUUGUUCACCAACCAAGCACUUCAGUAAUGAAUAAUGAGCAUAUAAUGCAAACAGAACAUUUCAUUUGAAUAAAUUCUUAUUCUUGAAUUAAUUCUUAUUAUCC
ensembl:lncRNA